rnacentral:rRNA from 1 species
GGGUUGUGAGGUUAAGCGACUAAGCGUACACGGUGGAUGCCCUGGCAGUCAGAGGCGAUGAAGGACGUGCUAAUCUGCGAAAAGCGUCGGUAAGGUGAUAUGAACCGUUAUAGCCGGCGAUGUCCGAAUGGGGAAACCCAGUGUGAUUCGUCACACUAUCGUUAACUGAAUACAUAGGUUAACGAGGCGAACCGGGGGAACUGAAACAUCUAAGUACCCCGAGGAAAAGAAAUCAACCGAGAUUCCCCCAGUAGCGGCGAGCGAACGGGGAGCAGCCCAGAGUCUGAAUCAGCUUGUGUGUUAGUGGAACGGUCUGGAAAGUCCGACGGUACAGGGUGAUAGUCCCGUACACCAAAAUGCACAGGUUGUGAACUCGAAGAGUAGGGCGGGACACGUGGUAUCCUGUCUGAAUAUGGGGGGACCAUCCUCCAAGGCUAAAUACUCCUGACUGACCGAUAGUGAACCAGUACCGUGAGGGAAAGGCGAAAAGAACCCCGGCGAGGGGAGUGAAAAAGAACCUGAAACCGUGUACGUACAAGCAGUGGGAGCACCUUCGGGUGUGACUGCGUACCUUUGUAUAAUGGGUCAGCGACUUAUAUUCUGUAGCAAGGUUAACCGUAUAGGGAGCCGCAGGGAAACCGAGUCUUAACUGGGCGUUAAGUUGCAGGGUAUAGACCCGAAACCCGGUGAUCUAGCCAUGGGCAGGUUGAAGGUUGGGUAACACUAACUGGAGGACCGAACCGACUAAUGUUGAAAAAUUAGCGGAUGACUUGUGGCUGGGGUGAAAGGCCAAUCAAACCGGGAGAUAGCUGGUUCUCCCGAAAGCUAUUUAGGUAGCGCCUCGUGAAUUCAUCUUCGGGGGUAGAGCACUGUUUCGGCUAGGGGGUCAUCCCGACUUACCAACCCGAUGCAAACUACGAAUACCGAAGAAUGUUAUCACGGGAGACACACGGCGGGUGCUAACGUCCGUCGUGAAGAGGGAAACAACCCAGACCGCCAGCUAAGGUCCCAAAGUCAUGGUUAAGUGGGAAACGAUGUGGGAAGGCACAGACAGCCAGGAUGUUGGCUUAGAAGCAGCCAUCAUUUAAAGAAAGCGUAAUAGCUCACUGGUCGAGUCGGCCUGCGCGGAAGAUGUAACGGGGCUAAACCAUGCACCGAAGCUGCGGCAGCGACACUAUGUGUUGUUGGGUAGGGGAGCGUUCUGUAAGCCUGCGAAGGUGUGCUGUGAGGCAUGCUGGAGGUAUCAGAAGUGCGAAUGCUGACAUAAGUAACGAUAAAGCGGGUGAAAAGCCCGCUCGCCGGAAGACCAAGGGUUCCUGUCCAACGUUAAUCGGGGCAGGGUGAGUCGACCCCCUAAGGCGAGGCCGAAAGGCGUAGUCGAUGGGAAACAGGUUAAUAUUCCUGUACUUGGUGUUACUGCGAAGGGGGGACGGAGAAGGCUAUGUUAGCCGGGCGACGGUUGUCCCGGUUUAAGCAUGUAGGCUGGUUAUCCAGGCAAAUCCGGAUAAUCAAGGCUGAGGUGUGAUGACGAGGCACUACGGUGCUGAAGUAACAAAUGCCCUGCUUCCAUGAAAAGCCUCUAAGCAUCAGGUAACAUCAAAUCGUACCCCAAACCGACACAGGUGGUCAGGUAGAGAAUACCAAGGCGCUUGAGAGAACUCGGGUGAAGGAACUAGGCAAAAUGGUGCCGUAACUUCGGGAGAAGGCACGCUGGUGUGUAGGUGAAGUCCCUGCGGAUGGAGCUGAGACCAGUCGAAGAUACCAGCUGGCUGCAACUGUUUAUUAAAAACACAGCACUGUGCAAACACGAAAGUGGACGUAUACGGUGUGACGCCUGCCCGGUGCCGGAAGGUUAAUUGAUGGGGUUAUCCGUAAGGAGAAGCUCUUGAUCGAAGCCCGGUAAACGGCGGCCGUAACUAUAACGGUCCUAAGGUAGCGAAAUUCCUUGUCGGGUAAGUUCCGACCUGCACGAAUGGCGUAAUGAUGGCCAGGCUGUCUCCACCCGAGACUCAGUGAAAUUGAACUCGCUGUGAAGAUGCAGUGUACCCGCGGCAAGACGGAAAGACCCCGUGAACCUUUACUAUAGCUUGACACUGAACAUUGAGCCUUGAUGUGUAGGAUAGGUGGGAGGCUUUGAAGCGUGGACGCCAGUCUGCGUGGAGCCAACCUUGAAAUACCACCCUUUAAUGUUUGAUGUUCUAACGUUGGCCCCUGACCGGGGUUGCGGACAGUGUCUGGUGGGUAGUUUGACUGGGGCGGUCUCCUCCCAAAGCGUAACGGAGGAGCACGAAGGUUAGCUAAUCUGGUCGGACAUCAGGAGGUUAGUGCAAUGGCAUAAGCUAGCUUGACUGCGAGCGUGACGGCGCGAGCAGGUGCGAAAGCAGGUCAUAGUGAUCCGGUGGUUCUGAAUGGAAGGGCCAUCGCUCAACGGAUAAAAGGUACUCCGGGGAUAACAGGCUGAUACCGCCCAAGAGUUCAUAUCGACGGCGGUGUUUGGCACCUCGAUGUCGGCUCAUCACAUCCUGGGGCUGAAGUAGGUCCCAAGGGUAUGGCUGUUCGCCAUUUAAAGUGGUACGCGAGCUGGGUUUAGAACGUCGUGAGACAGUUCGGUCCCUAUCUGCCGUGGGCGCUGGAGAAUUGAGGGGGGCUGCUCCUAGUACGAGAGGACCGGAGUGGACGCAUCACUGGUGUUCGGGUUGUCAUGCCAAUGGCACUGCCCGGUAGCUAAAUGCGGAAGAGAUAAGUGCUGAAAGCAUCUAAGCACGAAACUUGCCCCGAGAUGAGUUCUCCCUGAGACUUUAAGUCUCCUGAAGGAACGUUGAAGACGACGACGUUGAUAGGCCGGGUGUGUAAGCGCAGCGAUGCGUUGAGCUAACCGGUACUAAUGAACCGUGAGGCUUAACCUUACAACGCCGAAG